AUGGCGACCGGCGCACGGGUGAGUAACACAUAUCCAACCUGCCGAUAACUCGGGGAUAGCCUUUCGAAAGAAAGAUUAAUACCCGAUGGUAUAAUCAGACCGCAUGGUUUGAUUAUUAAAGAAUUUCGGUUAUCGAUGGGGAUGCGUUCCAUUAGGCAGUUGGUGAGGUAACGGCUCACCAAACCUUCGAUGGAUAGGGGUUCUGAGAGGAAGGUCCCCCACAUUGGAACUGAGACACGGUCCAA
rnacentral:rRNA from 1 species